rnacentral:rRNA from 1 species
UACAGAGGGGGCAAGCGUUGUUCGGAAUUACUGGGCGUAAAGGGCGCGUAGGCGGCCUGCUAAGUCGAACGUGAAAUCCCUGGGCUCAACCCAGGAACUGCGUCCGAUACUGGUUGGCUUGAAUCCGGGAGAGGGAUGUGGAAUUCCAGGUGUAGCGGUGAAAUGCGUAGAUAUCUGGAGGAACACCGGUGGCGAAGGCGACAUCCUGGACCAACACUGACGCUGAGGAGCGAAAGCCAGGGGAGCAAACGGG